CCUACGGGUGGCAGCAGUGAGGAAUAAUGGUCAAUGGACGGAAGUCUGAACGAGCCAAGCCGCGUGAAGGAAGAAGGCUCUAUGAGUUGUAAACUGCUGUUGUACAAGGGUAAAGCAGAAUAAGUGUAUGAAGCUGAAAGUACGGUACGAAUAAGGAGCGGCUAACUCCGUGCAAGCAGCCUCGGUAAUCCGGAGGAUCCAAGCGUUAUCCGGAUUUAUUGGGUUUAAAGGGUGCGUAGGCGGAUUAAUAAGUUAGAGGUGAAAUGUCCGAGCUUAACUCGGAAACUGCAUCUAAUACUGUUGGUCUAGAGAGUAGCUGCGGUAGGCGGAAUGUAUGGUGUAGCGGUGAAAUGCUUAGAGAUCAUGCAGAACACCGAUUGCGAAGGCAGCUUACCAAACUAUAUCUGACGUUGAGGCCCGAAAGCGUGGGGAGCAAACAGGAUUAGAUACCCUAGUAGUC
rnacentral:rRNA from 1 species